rnacentral:rRNA from 1 species
CCUACGGGGGGCAGCAGUGAGGAAUAUUGGUCAAUGGACGAGAGUCUGAACCAGCCAAGUAGCGUGAAGGAUGACUGCCCUAUGGGUUGUAAACUUCUUUUAUAUGGGAAUAAAAUGUUCCACGUGUGGGAUUCUGUAUGUACCAUAUGAAUAAGGACCGGCUAACUCCGUGCCAGCAGCCGCGGUAAUACGGAGGAUCCGAGCGGUAUCCGGAUUUAUUGGGUUUAAAGGGAGCGUAGGUGGAUGGUUAAGUCAGUUGUGAAAGUUUGCGGCUCAACCGUAAAAUUGCAGUUGAAACUGGCAGUCUUGAGUGCAGUAGAGGUGAGCGGAAUUCGUGGUGUAGCGGGGAAAUGCUUAGGUAUCACGAAGAACUCCGAUUGCGAAGGCAGUUCACUGGACUGCAACUGACACUGAGGCUCGAAAGUGUGGGUAUCAAACAGGAUUAGAUACCCCAGUAGUC